rnacentral:lncRNA from 1 species
AUACCACCACCGCAGAGGAUCAGAGAAAUAAUGAAUCACAAAGUGCAAUAAUGUAAUAAUGAAAUCUAUGAACGUAUAUGUAUACAUAUAUGUAUAUAUGAUGAUUAUGCUGACAAAACGAUCACAAAGGAUACAAACAUCACUGGUCUAAAUCAUCAAUACAACACCCAGACAAUCUCAACAGGAGGGAAUCAACUAGAGAAAGAGAGGUAAGGGAUGG